CACCUAAACCUAAUUAUUUUUUAAUUAAGCAUGGUGCUAAAUCCGCUAUAGAGACGAGAGCUCCUCGUCACAAUACUGUAGCGGUCAGUAGCCGAAAGGUUGCUGGGGAAUCUGAAAGGAUAACC
ncrna:unclassified sequences LOOT RNA